CCUACGGGGGGCAGCAGUGGGGAAUAUUGCACAAUGGGGGCAACCCUGAUGCAGCGACGCCGCGUGAAGGAAGAAGGAUUUCGGUAUGUAAACUUCUAUCAGCAGGGAAGAAAAGGACGGUACCUGACUAAGAAGCCCCGGCUAACUACGUGCCAGCAGCCGCGGUAAUACGUAGGGGGCAAGCGUUAUCCGGAUUUACUGGGGGUAAAGGGAGCGUAGGCGGUUGAGCAAGUCAGAAGUGAAAGCCCGGGGCUCAACUCCGGGACUGCUUUUGAGACUGUUGAACUUGAGUGCAGGAGAGGUAAGUGGAAUUCCUAGUGUAGCGGUGAAAUGCGUAGAGAUUAGGAGGAACACCAGUGGCGAAGGCGGCUUACUGGACUAUAAAUGACGCUGAGGCGCGAAAGCGUGGGGAGCAAACAGGAUUAGAUACCCUUGUAGUC
rnacentral:rRNA from 1 species